UACGUAGGGUGCAAGCGUUAAUCGGAAUUACUGGGCGUAAAGCGUGCGCAGGCGGCUAUGCAAGACAGAUGUGAAAUCCCCCGGGCUCAACCUGGGAACUGCAUUUGUGACUGCAUGGCUAGAGUACGGUAGAGGGGGGAUGGGAAUUCCGCGUGUAGCAGUGAAAAUGCGUAGAUAUGCGGAGGAACACCGAUGGCGAAGGCAAUCCCCCUGGACCUGUACUGACGCU
rnacentral:rRNA from 1 species